rnacentral:rRNA from 1 species
GUUCGGGUUGUCACGCCAGUGGCAUUGCCCGGUAGCUAUGUUCGGAUAGGAUAACCGCUGAAAGCAUCUAAGCGGGAAGCCGGCCUCAAGAUGAGAUUUCCAUACCUUCGGGUGAGAGGCUCCCAGCCAGACUACUGGGUUGAUAGGCCAGAUGUGGAAGCGUGGUAACACGUGCAGCUGACUGGUACUAAUAAGCCGAUGACUUGAUAACACA